rnacentral:lncRNA from 1 species
GGUGAAUGGCUGCAUACCAAACCUCGCAACUUAAUGAACAAAAGCGUCACCUAUUGUCGCUAGCUUGUCCCUGACCUCUUGCUUGAACAUCAAAGUUAAAAUUUUAACAGAACCUUUUUCGCCCGCCUAUCGCUGGCCCAUCACUCGAGCGAUUGGUGAAUGAUAGAGUUAGGCAAAAAUCUAGACCAAUUUUCCCUCUAUUUUACUUACAAUUUUGGAUUGCAAGUUUUCAUUUAUCCGAAAUUCACUUGUUAUCGCUGGCCUGUCGCUGAUGUCUUACUUGAACGUUAACGUUAAAAUUUUAACAGAACAUUUUUCGCCCGCCUAUCGCUAGCCCGUCACUCGAGCGAUUGGCGAACGAUAGAGUUAAGCAAAAAUCUAGGCCAAUUUUCCCUCUAUUUUACUUCCAACUUUGGACUGCAAUUUUUCGUUCAUCCGGAAUUAGUUUUGAGCUUCUAAAUAUACCACGAUGAUCUACUCGACGAGUAUAACAUGUUAGUCUAUGUACAUUUGUAAUUUGACUAUCGGAUCAAAUCUGAAUAUUUGACCGACGUUGACACGAAAAUCAUUUUUCCCAUUUUUAUACUCAACCAAUUCCAACAAAAGUUGCAUUCUUGCACAAUUAUAAAUAGACUUGUAUUAAAUGGUGGGGAGAAAAUCCAAGAAAAUAAAGGAAAUUUUCUUCAGAAAGAACAAAAAAUUGGGCCUGAAAUUCUUAGUCUCUUGAGAUUAGGAAUUGUAAUUGAUCUCCACAAAAUUCUAUUUGAUUGUAUGCAAAUGAUUUUUAGCUUGUUCUCAUCAUAUUUGUUGUGAAAAUCAAGUGGCAGAUAAAGACAGGACCAGGUUUGCAGGAAUUAAGUAUAG